rnacentral:rRNA from 1 species
GAUGAACGCUAGCUACAGGCUUAACACAUGCAAGUCGAGGGGUAACGAGAGGAAAGCUUGCUUUCCUUGUCGACGACCGGCGCACGGGUGAGUAACGCGUAUCCAACCUGCCCCCAACUAGGGAACAACCUUGCGAAAGUAAGACUAAUACCCUAUAAUUUCCUCAGAUGCCAUCUGACGAGGAAUAAAGAUUUAUCGGUUGUGGAUGGGGAUGCGUCUGAUUAGCUUGUUGGCGGGGUAACGGCCCACCAAGGCAACGAUCAGUAGGGGUUCUGAGAGGGAGGUCCCCCACAUUGGAACUGAGACACGGUCCAAACUCCUACGGGAGGCAGCAGUGAGGAAUAUUGGUCAAUGGGCGGAAGCCUGAACCAGCCAAGUAGCGUGCAGGAUGACGGCCCUAUGGGUUGUAAACUGCUUUUAUACAGGAAUAAAGUUAGCCACGUGUGGUUAUCUGUAGGUACUGUAUGAAUAAGGACCGGCUAAUUCCGUGCCAGCAGCCGCCGUAA